rnacentral:rRNA from 1 species
GGCGGCAUGCCUUACACAUGCAAGUCGAACGGCAGCACGGGAGCAAUCCUGGUGGCGAGUGGCGAACGGGUGAGUAAUAUAUCGGAACGUGCCCAGUCGUGGGGGAUAACGCAGCGAAAGCUGUGCUAAUACCGCAUACGAUCUCUGGAUGAAAGCGGGGGACUCGAAAGAGCCUCGCGCGAUUGGAGCGGCCGAUAUCAGAUUAGCUAGUUGGCGGGGUAAAAGCCCACCAAGGCGACGAUCUGUAGCUGGUCUGAGAGGACGACCAGCCACACUGGAACUGAGACACGGUCCAGACUCCUACGGGAGGCAGCAGUGGGGAAUUUUGGACAAUGGGCGCAAGCCUGAUCCAGCAAUGCCGCGUGCAGGAUGAAGGCCUUCGGGUUGUAAACUGCUUUUGUACGGAACGAAACGGUUCUCCUUAAUACGGAGGGCUAAUGACGGUACCGUAAGAAUAAGCACCGGCUAACUACGUGCCAGCAGCCGCGGUAAUACGUAGGGUGCGAGCGUUAAUCGGAAUUACUGGGCGUAAAGCGUGCGCAGGCGGUUAUAUAAGACAGAUGUGAAAUCCCCGGGCUCAACCUGGGAACUGCAUUUGUGACUGUAUA